CCCAAAAGAAAUGUACCCACUAUGAAAGGUAAAUAAUGAAUAUUUUAUAUCCUAUGAGCUUUUAGCUAGUCACAAGUUUUACAAUUCUAUUUGAAACUGAGAUUUAAAUGUGGUCAAUUGUGUUUAGUGUACACUUAUAUACAGAUUAUGUUACAAAUACUUCUUAUGUGAUAAUUCACCUUGAAGUCUUUAAAUUUUAGAUGUAAUUAAUAUGUUUAGUUUGAAACUGUGUAAGAAGUUUUCAAAAUAUUUAUUUUCAAAUAGGUUCAUUAAGCCUUAAUGAAACUUUUUUGAAAAAAUAUACUUUUUUGCAAUAGGUGUAUCUUAUCAGAAAUUAAGUGGACCUCCUUAAAUGAAUUGAGCAGGUCAACACAAACUAGAAGGAACAAGUCACAGAUGCAGAUUAAGAUGCAUUAUGAUGGAAAGAAAUAUGUACAAGAAACUGAAGUGCAAAAUUGAGUUAUAGUGUUGUAGGUGUGUGAGUGAUAUGGAGCCUUCACACGGAAAACAGGUGUUCAUUAGUGUUUCCAUCACCAUGCCUCCAAGAAUGGAAUGCUUCAAAGACUUUUUCUUCUUCUGAGAUCUUAAACCGGAAAAUCAGAGAGACUGACAGCAAAUGCAACAGCAUCCAUGUGCUUUCUUGAAAACUUCUUUUUCUUACCAACAAAAGGUGGGGAUCAUAAAUAUGGAAGAAAGCCAUACAGGCCAAAAGUAGAAGGGAAAAGUCUCUCUAGGGUAGUUGGUAUGGAGUUUUGGGGACCACAGAAGCCUUUCAAAUAUAACCCUGUUUUGAAUCUUCUCCCACAUAAAAUGCACACAUCUUUAUUUUUACAUACAAUUUCAAAGUUGCAAGAUCUAUUGGCUGUACCCCCCCAGAUACUUAGUUUAAAAAAAAUAAACAAGACAGCUAAAGACACUUGAGAGAUUAUUUGCAAUGGAUGACUCUUUGAAAAGUACAUCUGUUUUGAUAUUUAAUGUACUCCUGAAUACUUUCAAGCAUUAAAAACAUACAGGAUUUGUAAAAUUCAUUUGAAGACUCGGUAAAUUUGAAUAUAUGGGUUGUGGGGUCAGUGUUGUGGCAUAGUGGGUAAGACUGCCCACUGCCUGCAACACUGGCAUCCCAGUUUGUGUCCUCUGCUGCUCCACUUCCAAUCAAGCUCACUGCUGAUGUGCCUGGGAGAGCAGCAGAAGAUGGCCCAAGUGCCUCGGCCCCUACACCCUGUGGGAGACUUGGAAAAAGCUCUGAGCUCCUGGCUUUGGCCUGGUCCAUCCAUUUGGAGAGUGAACCAGUGGAUGGAAGAUCUCUCUCUGUUUCUCCCUCUAUCUGUGUAACUCUGCCUCUCAAAAAAUAAAUCUUUUAAAAAGA